rnacentral:rRNA from 1 species
CAGCAGCCGCGGGAAUACGAAGGGGGCUAGCGUUGCUCGGAAUCACUGGGCGUAAAGGGUGCGUAGGCGGGUUUUUAAGUCAGAGGUGAAAUCCUGGAGCUCAACUCCAGAACUGCCUUUGAUACUGAAAGUCUUGAGUAUGGGAGAGGUGAGUGGAACUGCGAGUGUAGAGGUGAAAUUCGUAGAUAUUCGCAAGAACACCAGUGGCGAAGGCGGCUCACUGGCCCAUAACUGACGCUGAGGCACGAAAGCGUGGGGAGCAAACAGGAUUAGAUACCCGCGUAGUCCCUGUCUCUUAUCA